UACGUAGGGGGCAAGCGUUGUCCGGAAUCAUUGGGCGUAAAGCGCGUGUAGGCGGCUCGGUAAGUCUGCUGUGAAAGUCCAGGGCUCAACCCUGGGAUGCCGGUGGAUACUGUCGAGCUCGAGUCCGGAAGAGGCGAGUGGAAUUCCUGGUGUAGCGGUGAAAUGCGCAGAUAUCAGGAGGAACACCGGUGGCGAAGGCGGGUCUCUGGGCCGAUACUGACGCUGAGGAGCGAAAGCGUGGGGAGCGAACAGG
rnacentral:rRNA from 1 species